UACGUAGGUGGCAAGCGUUAUCCGGAUUUACUGGGUGUCAAGGGCGUGUAGGCGGGAAAGCAAGUCAGAUGUGAAAACCAUGGGCUCAACCUGUGGCCUGCAUUUGAAACUGUUUUUCUUGAGUACUGGAGAGGCAGACGGAAUUCCUAGUGUAGCGGUGAAAUGCGUAGAUAUUAGGAGGAACACCAGUGGCGAAGGCGGUCUGCUGGACAGCAACUGACGCUGAGGCGCGAAAGCGUGGGGAGCAAACAGG
rnacentral:rRNA from 1 species